rnacentral:lncRNA from 1 species
AAAAGUUCUAAUUUUUUCUCUCUUUCUCCUCUCUCAGCCCGUCUUCCCCCAUCUACCCUUCCUCUCUCUCAGUCGCUCUCUCACUCGUCCGUCUUCCCCUCUCUCUCACUCGUCUUCCCCUCUUUCUCAACCGUCCAUAGUCCAGGUACUUGCUUCAAAUCCUUCCGACAACAAAAUUUUAAUUUAAGGGUUUUUAUUGUUAUUGUUGAUCAUGGGAUUUAGUAAAUCUGAUUUACUUGUGAAUUUGGGGUGUGAAUUUUAUGAAUUUUGAUUAUUAGUUGUUGAAAUUUAUGGAAAAAAAUUGUGGUUUGAAUUUUAUUUUAUUUUUGUUGAUUGGGGAUUUUAGUGGUAGAAAACAAUUGGAAAUUUUGGUCGAUUUUGGUAAAAUUUGUUUAUUAUUGGGUUAAUUACCGCCUUAAGUUGGUCUUGUGCUUGAUUUGAAUAAAUAUAGAUUCAUAUCUAAAAAAAUAGAGACAAAAUCUAGAAAUAGUGCUAAUACUAAAUUUUUAAGUCAAUGCUCUGGCUUAUUCGAAGAUUUUUGUUAUGAAAAUAAUAAUCUAGAAUUAUCAUCAAGCUACUGAUUCUGGCAAUGAUGUUUGUCACUGUAAAAUUAAGCACAACAUUGUCAAGCCUUGACAUUGUUUUUAACUGUGCAUCCUUAAUUUAAUUGUGUUGUGAAUACGUUGUGCAGUUUCAUCCAAACUCAGUUUAAGCAAAAGUUGGUGCCCCUUAGGCGAGUAAUAGCCCAAUUUAAGUUGUGACUUUGCUUUCUUUGUCUAUUUUGUUAAUGAAUCUGUAAUGCUGAUUGUAUUAGUGGUGUUGUGAAGUGUAAUAGGAUGAAUAUUCAUCCAUUACUUUCAAGGUCAGUGUAUUUUUGUAAACUAGACCUUAUCUUU